UACGUAGGGUGCGAGCGUUGUCCGGAAUUAUUGGGCGUAAAGAGCUCGUAGGCGGCUUGUCGCGUCGGAUGUGAAAGCCCGGGGCUUAACUCCGGGUCUGCAUUCGAUACGGGCAGGCUAGAGUUCGGUAGGGGAGAUCGGAAUUCCUGGUGUAGCGGUGAAAUGCGCAGAUAUCAGGAGGAACACCGGUGGCGAAGGCGGCCAACUGGACGAAUACUGACGCUGAGACUCGAAAGCGUGGGGAGCAAACAGG
rnacentral:rRNA from 1 species